rnacentral:rRNA from 1 species
CGGACUGGUGAGUAACGCGUGAGGAACCUGCCUUUCGGAGGGGGACAACAGUUGGAAACGACUGCUAAUACCGCAUGACGUAUCGGGAUCGCAUGGUCUUGAUACCAAAGAUUUUAUCGCCGAAAGAUGGCCUCGCGUCUGAUUAGCUAGUUGGUGGGGCAACGGCCUACCAAGGCGACGAUCAGUAGCCGGCCUGAGAGGGCGGACGGCCACACUGGGACUGAGACACGGCCCGGACUCCUACGGAAGGCAGCAG